CCAGAGUAGUGACGAGUAAGAAAAAUUGUUAAUGUUUCUCUUUACACAUUUUGUUCAGACUGUUUUACCCCAAUCCAGUAGGUGGCGGUAAUUCCCCCAUUUCUGUUCUUAGCUUGUGGAAAGAAUAAGAAUCAGGGGAAAGUUACUUGAGAAAAUGGGUAAAAAAGAAGACAAGGAGCGAAAACGGAAGAAAACGGCGGUAACAUUGUCCCAAAAUAUUGGUGACUUGUUCAAAAAAGGCCCAAAAUCGUAGAGAGAUAGACAAUAAAGGACAGCAACAUCAGAGACAGACAAUGGAGGGCAGCAACAGAGACAAUGGAACAAAGCAACAGACAACUGAGGUGAGCAACAGAGACAGACAAUGAAGUCACAUCACAGAUGUAGGAAGUUUGAGUAACACUUACAUUUAUAUCAAAUGUAUGUUAACAGUGGGGAGCAACAGACGAACAAAUAAGGACAGCAACAACAGAUUCACAACAAACUUAUAAUAAAUAAAAUAUGUCUAAAUUAAAAGGUUUGAAGUGUGCUCGUGUAUUUAGGGGGCAUUGGAGUAGAGAGCCAAAUGAAGUCCACUUUUGGGGGAAAAAAGAUCCCCCCCCAUCACAAUGCUGGCUACGGGCCUG